UACGAAGGGGGCUAGCGUUGCUCGGAAUCACUGGGCGUAAAGGGUGCGUAGGCGGGUCUUUAAGUCAGGGGGGAAAUCCUGGAGCUCAACUCCAGAACUGCCUUUGAUACUGAGGAUCUUGAGUUCGGGAGAGGUGAGUGGAACUGCGAGUGUAGAGGUGAAAUUCGUAGAUAUUGGGAAGAGCACCGGUGGCGAAGGCGGCUCACUGGCUCGUAACUGACGCUCAUGCACGACAGCGUGGGGAUCAAACAGG
rnacentral:rRNA from 1 species